GGUUACCCUAGGAAUUUAAAAAAUGCAUUACUCAGAAUGAAGAUACAGCUUUCAGACCUGGGCUAGUGUGUUCAGGACAUGCACUCUAAGCCGAGUCUCUCCUAUCCUGGAAAUAACCAGCCAGCAAUAGCAUAACAUCUUCUGUCCUCUGUGCUUCCUCCUGCCACCUGCUUAUAAGGAUCUUGAUGCCAAAUCUGGAUUGGAUACUCCAGCAAAAUCUUCCCAUGGAGAGAUCCUCACCUUAAUCCCAUCCACCAUCACGAGAAUCUACUCCUUGUGAUGAAUACUAGGAAAGUCUGUGACAAACCCAAGCUACAUAAAAUAACCUGUCCUAUAAUCUGCACCUUGGAUUCAAGAUGUGAGACAUGCAUCUCAGGAUCUCUGUAGUGGACACAGAGAUAUAAACAUCACAGAGUAUAAAAAGAAAGAUACAAGCAACAGAGCAAAGGAUUGGUCACUGAGUAAAGAACUGAAAACGCUUAAGCUACGAAGAUUCUUCCCUGAAUAUAGAUGUGCUCAUAAUUUUAGCUACAAUAAAUGUACAUACUGGCUUUACACUAGAAUUAUUCUGUAAGUACCUAGGAUGCCAUUUAAGUCUUGUCAGGCCAUCUUUCAAGUGUUUUUUUAAAUGACGCUGAAAUAGAAUUUCAGUUUUACUGAAAUAUAAUUCACAUGUCAUAAAAUUCACCAAUGUAAACUGCUUAACCCAGUGGUUUUCAGUAUAUUCAGAGUUGGCAACCAUCAUCACAAACAACACAGAAUAUUGUCUUUACCCAAAGAAACCUCAUAGCUAUUAGCAGUCACUUCCCAUUUUCUCAAAAUUCUUUCCAUUGGCCCCCACCCUUUUCACCCAAGCCCCAGGCAACUGCUAAUUUUUUUCUAUCUCAACUAUAGAUUUGCUUGUGCUGGACAUUUCAUACAAGUGCAAUCAUGCAAUGUGUGGUCUUUUGUGACUAACUUGAUCUUGUUUUCAAGGAUCAUCCAUGUUGUAGCACAUACCAGUACUUCCUUUAUAUUACUUAGUGAUGCUCCACUGUUUGUGUGUAUAUGUAUGUAUGUAUGUAUAUAUUACAUACUUAUCCUUUCAUCAGUUGAUGCAUGUGUGAAUUGUUCCCACUUGACUAUUCCAAAUAACGUUGCUAUGAACAUUUACAUACAAAAUUUUAUGUGAGCUUAUGUUUUCAAUUCUCUUGGGUAGGUAUUUGCAUAGGAAUGGAAUUGCUGGGCAUAUGGUAAUUGUAUAUUUCUCUUUUUGAGGAACUGCUAGACUACUUUCUCAAGUAGCUGCACCAUUGUAUAAUUCCAGCAACAGUACAGGAGGGUCCCAAUUUCUCCACAUGCUCAUCAGCACAUGCGGUUGUCUGUGCCUAUGCACCAGUUUUGCAUUGUGGUUUUGAUCUGUAUUUCUCUGAUGGCUAAUAAUGCUAAGCAGCUGCUCAUCUGCAUAUUGGUUGUUGGUACAUCUUCUUUGGAAAUAUCCCUGUUCAAAAUUUUGCCUAUUUUUAAACUAGAUUACUUUUAAUUGUUGAGUUACGAGUUUUUUAUAUAUUCUAAAUACA